rnacentral:rRNA from 1 species
GAUGAACGCUGGCGGCGUGCCUAAUACAUGCAAGUCGAGCGAACAGACGAGGAGCUUGCUCCUCUGACGUUAGCGGCGGACGGGUGAGUAACACGUGGAUAACCUACCUAUAAGACUGGGAUAACUUCGGGAAACCGGAGCUAAUACCGGAUAAUAUAUUGAACCGCAUGGUUCAAUAGUGAAAGACGGUUUUGCUGUCACUUAUAGAUGUAUCCGCGCCGCAUUAGCUAGUUGGUAAGGUAACGGCAUACCAAGGCAACGAUGCGUAGCCGACCUGAGAGGUUGAACGGCCACACUGGAACUGAGACACGGUCCAGACUCCUACGGGAGGCAGCAGUAGGGAAUCUUCCGCAAUGGGCGAAAGCCUGACGGAGCAACGCCGCGUGAGUGAUGAAGGUCUUCGGAUCGUAAAACUCUGUUAUUAGGGAAGAACAAAUGUGUAAGUAACUAUGCACGUCUUGACGGUACCUAAUCAGAAAGCCACGGCUAACUACGUG